rnacentral:rRNA from 1 species
AUUGAACGCUGGCGGAAUGCUUUACACAUGCAAGUCGAACGGCAGCACGGACUUCGGUCUGGUGGCGAGUGGCGAACGGGUGAGUAAUGUAUCGGAACGUGCCCAGUCGUGGGGGAUAACGUAGUGAAAAUUACGCUAAUACCGCAUACGAUCUAUGGAUGAAAGCGGGGGAUCGCAAGACCUCGCGCGAUUGGAGCGGCCGACAUCAGAUUAGGUAGUUGGUGGGGUAAAGGCCCACCAAGCCAACGAUCUGUAGCUGGUCUGAGAGGACGACCGGCCAAACUGGAACUGAGACACGGUCCAGACUCCUACGGGAGGCAGCAGUGGGGAAUUUUGGACAAUGGGCGAAAGCCUGAUCCAGCCAUUCCGCGUGCGGGAUGAAGGCCCUCGGGUUGUAAACUGCUUUUGUACAGAACGAAAAGGUUUCUACUAAUACUAGGAGCUCAUGACGGUACUGUAAGAAUAAGCACCGGCUAACUACGUGCCAGCCGCCGCCGUAA